rnacentral:sRNA from 1 species
GCUAGGUAUGGUGGCAUGCACCUGUAAUCCCAACUACUUAGGAAACUGAGGCAGGAGGACUGUCUGAGCCCAAGAAUUGGAGAUAAUUUGAGCAACACAGCUAGACCCUGUUUCAA